GGUGUUAAACCGGAGGAAGGUGGGGAUGAAGUCAAGUCAUCAUGGCCCUUACGAGUAGGGCUCACACGUGCUACAAUGGCGUAUACAAAGAGAAGCGACCUCGCGAGAGCAAGCGGACCUCAUAAAGUACGUCGUAGUCCGGAUUGGAGUCUGCAACUCGACUCCAUGAAGUCGGAAUCGCUAGUAAUCGUAGAUCAGAAUGCUACGGUGAAUACGUUCCCGGGCCUUGUACACACCGCCCGUCACACCAUGGGAGUGGGUUGCAAAAGAAGUAGGUAGCUUAACCUUCGGGAGGGCGCUUACCACUUUGUGAUUCAUGACUGGGGUGAAG
rnacentral:rRNA from 1 species